rnacentral:rRNA from 1 species
AGUGAACGCUGGCGGUAGGCCUAACACAUGCAAGUCGAACGGCAGCACAGUAAGAGCUUGCUCUUACGGGUGGCGAGUGGCGGACGGGUGAGGAAUACAUCGGAAUCUACUUUUUCGUGGGGGAUUACGUAGGGAAACUUACGCUAAUACCGCAUAUGACCUACGGGUGAAAGCAGGAGAUCUUCGCACCUUGCGCGUUUGAUUGAGCCGAUGUCGGAUUAGCUAGUUGGCGGGGUAAAGGCCCACCAAGGCGACGAUCCGUAGCUGGUCUGAGAGGAUGAUCAGCCACACUGGAACUGAGACACGGUCCAGACUCCUACGGGAGGCAGCAGUGGGGAAUAUUGGACAAAGGGCGCAAGCCUGAUGCAGCCAUACCGCGUGGGUGAAGAAGGCCUUCGGGUUGUAAAGCCCUUUUGUUGGGAAAGAAAAGCAGCAGGUUAAUACCCCGCUGUUCUGACGGUACCCAAAGAAUAAGCACCGGCUAACUUCGUG